rnacentral:rRNA from 1 species
CUUGCUUCUCUGGAUGAGUUGCGAACGGGUGAGUAACGCGUAGGUAACCUGCCUGGUAGCGGGGGAUAACUAUUGGAAACGAUAGCUAAUACCGCAUAAUAGCAGUUAUUGCAUGAUAACUGUUUGAAAGGUGCAAUUGCACCACUACCAGAUGGACCUGCGUUGUAUUAGCUAGUUGGUGGGGUAACGGCUCACCAAGGCGACGAUACAUAGCCGACCUGAGAGGGUGAUCGGCCACACUGGGACUGAGACACGGCCCAGACUCCUACGGGAGGCAGCAGUAGGGAAUCUUCGGCAAUGGACGGAAGUCUGACCGAGCAACGCCGCGUGAGUGAAGAAGGUUUUCGGAUCGUAAAGCUCUGUUGUAAGAGAAGAACGAGUGUGAGAGUGGAAAGUUCACACUGUGACGGUAUCUUACCAGAAAGGGACGGCUAACUACGUGCCAGCAGCCGCGGUAAUACGUAGGUCCCGAGCGUUGUCCGGAUUUAUUGGGCGUAAAGCGAGCGCAGGCGGUUAGAUAAGUCUGAAGUUAAAGGCUGUGGCUUAACCAUAGUACGCUUUGGAAACUGUUUAACUUGAGUGCAAGAGGGGAGAGUGGAAUUCCAUGUGUAGCGGUGAAAUGCGUAGAUAUAUGGAGGAACACCGGUGGCGAAAGCGGCUCUCUGGCUUGUAACUGACGCUGA